AAUACAGCGACAUCAGAAGUUCACUUGAAGCUGAGAGCAAAGUGCCAAUUCUCCUGUUAAGAUGAAUAGCAAGUUGAUCGUGAUUGUGCUGAUACUGGUUUUGCUAACAACUCUUCAUGAAAGCGAUGCCUGGCGAAGACGAAGAAGAGCUGGACUUCUUCAUAAAAAAUCCAAAAACCCGUUGCCAAUGAGAAAGGAAGAUGCUAAACCCAAACACACUGAUGACCGAAANUAUGAAGACGAGAUCAUGGAGGAUUUGAUGAAGGAAUUAGAUCAAACGGACCUCUGAAAGUCUCGAGUCUUUGUAAUAUGUUUAUUAUGACUCUCUAAGUAAAGGGAUUCAAUUUCAAUAAAGUGUAUUUUGUUUUCAAA
rnacentral:lncRNA from 1 species